UACGAAGGGGGCUAGCGUUGCUCGGAAUCACUGGGCGUAAAGCGCACGUAGGCGGUUUCUUAAGUCAGGGGUGAAAUCCCGAGGCUCAACCUCGGAACUGCCUUUGAUACUGGGGAUCUCGAGUCCGGGAGAGGUGAGUGGAACUGCGAGUGUAGAGGUGAAAUUCGUAGAUAUUCGCAAGAACACCAGUGGCGAAGGCGGCUCACUGGCCCGGAACUGACGCUGAGGUGCGAAAGCGUGGGGAGCAAACAGG
rnacentral:rRNA from 1 species